UAAUCUCUCACUUAAAACUAAUUAUUUAACGCUAAAUCUCAUCCGGUCUUUUUUGUUGUAACAGGAAGGGUAUUUCAGAGUCUGCACUACCCUACAGACGCACCCCUCCCACCUGGCUCAAAAUCUCCUCUCAAGACGUGGACGAAAACAUCUGCAAAUUUGCCAAGAAAGGCUUGACUCCAUCACAAUUGGUGUCAUCCUUCCUGACUCUCACGGAUUGGCGCCGGAGAUUGCUGAAGAUCUUUACCAUUUGAUAAAGAAGGCGGUGGCGAUUCGGAUGCAUUCGGAGAGGAAUAGGAAGGAUAAAGAUUCCAAGUUCAGGUUGAUUCUUGUGAAGAGCAGAAUUCACCGGCUCGCUCGUUAUUACAAGAAGACCAAGAAGCUCCCUCCUGUUUGGAAAUAAUUAGUUCUUUGCAUCUUUGUCUGUCAAUUGAAGCUUUACCAUUUUCCUUUCUCCAACAUGAUUGUUCACUAUUUUAUCCUCUCUCUGCAGCAAGUCAACCACGGCAAGCUAUCGCCUCUAUCCAUCAUACAGGAACGGAAGGUUUUGGGUUUUUUAUAAGUGGGUGUGCUGCACAUCCCUAUAAGUCGGUUUACGGGAGAGAGAGUAAUGACUCCGUGACAAAAUGGUAUCAGAGCAGACCGAUCCUCGUUCUGACCAUGCCAAGCGCCUGGCCCAGUGGGACCCAACGGGAUAGACAGGGUGAUCGACGGCAACAGGGGCGUUGCCGAUUUGGGUGGGUGAGAGUAUCACAAGAAAAGUACAUUUAUCCCACAUCAGACAAGAACGGGAGGUCCUGAGCUCUUUAUAAGCGGGUGUGCUGCACACCCUUAUAAGCCGGUUUAUGAGGGAGAGAGUAAUGACCUCGUGACAAAGCGCUCUGGUUGCUUAGAGAAAGUGUUGGAACUCUGGACUGGAAGCCUGUUAUGUCCCGAUUUCACGAGUAAGACCUUUCCAGUGAGAAUCUGUCUAGUAUUGUGGGAUGUUUAUAGUGAAACCGAAACAAUGAUGAAGUAGUUUGUGCUAAACAUUUUUGCGAUAGUCAAGGAGCAUUAUUGUCUUACAUUUAUCUUUUCCAAUUCGUACCUCAAUCCUCACGUAUGUCUUAGUGUGUCAUCAUGUGCUGAGAAUUGUUAUUUUGCUUGAAUUGUG